rnacentral:rRNA from 1 species
AUGAACGCUAGCGGCAGGCCUAACACAUGCAUGUCGAGGGGUAAUUUCGAUCUUCGGAUCGGAAACGACCGGCAAAUGGGUGAGUAAUACAUAUGCAACCUGCCCGUAGCUGGAGAAUAGCUUCCGGAAACGGAAAUUAAUACUCCAUAAUAUUCUAGUAUCGCAUGUUAUUAGAAUUAAAGCUUCGGUGGCUACGGAUGGGCAUAUGUCCCAUUAGCUUGUUGGUGAGGUAACUGCUCACCAAGGCUACGAUGGGUAGGGGGUCUGAGAGGAUGAUCCCCCACACUGGUACUGAGACACGGACCAGACUCCUACGGGAGGCAGCAGUGAGGAAUAUUGGUCAAUGGGCGAAAGCCUGAACCAGCCAUGCCGCGUGCAGGAUGACAGUCCUACGGAUUGUAAACUGCUUUUCUGCAAGAAGAAAUGUUCCGACGUGUCGGGAUUUGACGGUAUUGCAGGAAUAAGCAUCGGCUAACUCCGUGCCAGCAGCCGCGGUAAUACGGAGGAUGCAAGCGUUAUCCGGAUUCAUUGGGUUUAAAGGGUGCGUAGGCGGAUUAGAUAGUCAAAGGUGAAAGCCUGCAGCUUAACUGUAGAAGUGCCUUUGAUACUGCUAAUCUUGAGUACAGUUGAGGCGAGUGGAAUGUGUAGUGUAGCGGUGAAAUGCCUAGAUACUACACAGAACACCAAUUGCGAAGGCAGCUCGCUAAGCUGUUACUGACGCUCAGGCACGAAAGCGUGGGGAGCGAACAGGAUUAGAUACCCUGGUAGUCCACGCUGUAAACUAUGAUCACUAGCUGUUGGCGAUAAAUUGUCAGUGGCUCAGCGAAAGCGUUAAGUGAUCCACCUGGGGGAGUACGAUCGCAAGGUUGAAACUCAAAGGAAUUGACAGGGGCCCGCACAAGCGGUGGAACAUGUGGUUUAAUUCGAUGAUACGCGAGGAACCUUACCUGGGCUUAAUUAGCGACUCUCGAGAAUCGGGAUUCCCUUCGGGGCGAACUACAAGGUGCUGCAUGGUUGUCGUCAGCUCGUGCCGUGAGGUAUCGGGUUAAGUCCCAUAACGAGCGCACCCUUAUUGGUAGU